CAGCAGCCGCGGUAAUACGUAGGUGGCGAGCGUUGUCCGGAAUCAUUGGGCGUAAAGGGAGCGCAGGCGGGCAUGUAAGUCUUUCUUAAAAGUUCGGGGCUCAACCCCGUGAUGGGAAAGAAACUACAUGUCUUGAGUACAGGAGAGGAAAGCGGAAUUCCCAGUGUAGCGGUGAAAUGCGUAGAUAUUGGGAGGAACACCAGUGGCGAAGGCGGCUUUCUGGACUGCAACUGACGCUGAGGCUCGAAAGCCAGGGGAGCGAACGGGAUUAGAUACCCCAGUAGUCCCUGUCUCUUAUACC
rnacentral:rRNA from 1 species